rnacentral:rRNA from 1 species
CCUACGGGAGGCAGCAGUGGGGAAUAUUGCACAAUGGGGGAAACCCUGAUGCAGCGACGCCGCGUGAGCGAUGAAGUAUUUCGGUAUGUAAAGCUCUAUCAGCAGGGAAGAAAAUGACGGUACCUGACUAAGAAGCCCCGGCUAACUACAUGCCAGCAGCCGCGGUAAUACGUAGGGGGCAAGCGUUAUCCGGAUUUACUGGGUGUAAAGGGAGCGUAGACGGUACUGCAAGCCUGAUGUGAAAGCCCGGGGCUCAACCCCGGGACUGCUUUUGGAACUGUAAGGCUAGAGUGUAGGAGAGGCAAGCGGAAUUCCUAGUGUAGCGGUGAAAUGCGUAGAUAUUAGGAGGAACACCAGUGGCGAAGGCGGCCUGCUGGACGAUGACUGACGUUGAGGCUCGAAAGCGUGGGGAGCAAACAGGAUUAGAUACCCCGGUAGUC